rnacentral:rRNA from 1 species
UACGUAGGUGGCAAGCGUUGUCCGGAAUUAUUGGGCGUAAAGCGCGCGCAGGCGGUCCUUUAAGUCUGAUGUGAAAGCCCACGGCUCAACCGUGGAGGGUCAUUGGAAACUGGGGGACUUGAGUGCAGAAGAGGAGAGUGGAAUUCCACGUGUAGCGGUGAAAUGCGUAGAGAUGUGGAGGAACACCAGUGGCGAAGGCGGCAUCCUGGACCGGCAUUGACGCUGAGGCGCGAAAGCCAGGGGAGCAAACGGG